AUUCAGCUGACGAGUCCCAAAUAAAAUGAAACGCGUGUCCUGGAU
rnacentral:hammerhead_ribozyme from 1 species